rnacentral:rRNA from 1 species
CGGACUGUAGUCUGCAACCCGACUACACGAAGCUGGAAUCGCUAGUAAUCGCGAAUCAGAAUGUCGCGGUGAAUACGUUCCCGGGUCUUGUACACACCGCCCGUCACACCAUGGGAGUCGGGAAUGCCCGAAGUCAGUGACCCAACCUAUAGGAGGGAGCUGCCGAAGGCAGGUCUGAUAACUGGGGUGAAGUCGUAACAAGGUACC